rnacentral:rRNA from 1 species
AAACCAACUGGGAUUACCUUAGUAACGGCGAGUGAAGCGGUAAAAGCUCAAAUUUGAAAUCUGGUACUUUCAGUACCCGAGUUGUAAUUUGUAGAAUUUGUCUUUGAUUAGGUCCUUGUCUAUGUUCCUUGGAACAGGACGUCAUAGAGGGUGAGAAUCCCGUUUGGCGAGGAUACCUUUUCUCUGUAAGACUUUUUCGAAGAGUCGAGUUGUUUGGGAAUGCAGCUCAAAGUGGGUGGUAAAUUCCAUCUAAAGCUAAAUAUUGGCGAGAGACCGAUAGCGAACAAGUACAGUGAUGGAAAGAUGAAAAGAACUUUGAAAAGAGAGUGAAAAAGUACGUGAAAUUGUUGAAAGGGAAGGGCAUUUGAUCAGACAUGGUGUUUUUGCAUGCACUCGCCUCUCGUGGGCUUGGGCCUCUCAAAAAUUUCACUGGGCCAACAUCAAUUCUGGCAGUAGGAUAAAUCAUUAAGAAUGUAGCUACCUCGGUAUGUUAUAGCUUAUUGGAAUACUG